AUACGUAGGGGGCGAGCGUUGUCCGGAAUGACUGGGCGUAAAGGGCGUGUAGGCGGCGGUGUAAGUCUGGAGUGAAAGUCCCGCAUUCAAUGUGGGAAUUGCUUUGGAUACUGCAGUGCUAGAGUGCGGAAGAGGUAAGUGGAAUUCCCAGUGUAGCGGUGAAGUGCGUAGAGAUUGGGAGGAACACCAGUGGCGAAGGCGACUUACUGGGCCGUAACUGACGCUGAGGCGCGAAAGUGUGGGGAGCAAACAGGAUUAGAUACCCUGGUAGUCCACACUGUAAACGAUGAAUGCUAGGUGUAGGAGGUAUCGACCCCUUCUGUGCCGCAGUUAACACAAUAAGUAAUCCACCUGGGGAGUACGGCCGCAAGGUUGAAACUCAAAGGAAUUGACGGGG
rnacentral:rRNA from 1 species